GACGAACGCUGGCGGCGUGCUUAACACAUGCAAGUCGAACGGUGAAGCGCCUUCCUUUUUGGUGGGUGUGGAUGAGUGGCGAACGGGUGAGUAACACGUGAGUAACCUGCCCCCUUCUUCUGGAUAACCGCAUGAAAGUGUGGCUAAUACGGGAUAUUCUGGGUCUGUCGCAUGAUGGGUCUGGGAAAGAUAUUGUUUCGGUGGGGGAUGGGCUCGCGGCCUAUCAGCUUGUUGGUGGGGUGAUGGCCUACCAAGGCGGUGACGGGUAGCCGGCCUGAGAGGGUGGACGGUCACACUGGGACUGAGACACGGCCCAGACUCCUACGGGAGGCAGCAGUGGGGAAUAUUGCACAAUGGGCGCAAGCCUGAUGCAGCGACGCCGCGUGAGGGAUGGAGGCCUUCGGGCUGUGAACCUCUUUCGCCAGUGAAGCAGGCCUGCCUCGUUUGUGGGUGGGUUGACGGUAGCCGGAUAAGAAGCGCCGGCUAACUACGUG
rnacentral:rRNA from 1 species